rnacentral:lncRNA from 1 species
UUCCGCCCGAUAUCAGUCUUCCAUUUCCUUACCAUGGAAAGCAUAACAUAGCAAUCUUGAUGAAGUAGACUAAAUGGAUGAUAAAUAAGGCUUUUUUUCUUUCUCAUUUUUUUUUCUAUUAUAAAAAGAGGGGUUUGCAGAUUGUUCACCACUGGAAUAACCCGUUUGUGACGCUCGGUCUGAUAUAUCGUUGUUUUAGGAACACUCGAAGCUGGAGACA